rnacentral:rRNA from 1 species
UACGUAGGUGGCAAGCGUUACUCGGAAUCACUAGGCGUAAAGCGCAGGUAGGCGGUUCGGUAAGUCUCUUGUGAAAGCUCCCGGCUCAACUGGGAGAGGUCAAGGGAAACUACCGGGCUAGAGUGUGGCAGAGGAAGCUGGAAUUCCCGGUGUAGCGGUGAAAUGCGCAGAUAUCAGGAGGAACACCGGUGGCGAAGGCGGUUCUCUGGGCAUGUCCUGACGCUGAGGAGCGAAAGUGUGGGGAGCAAACGGG